rnacentral:rRNA from 1 species
UGCAAGUCGUACGCUUCUUUUUCCACCGGAGCUUGCUCCACCGGAAAAAGAAGAGUGGCGAACGGGUGAGUAACACGUGGGUAACCUGCCCAUCAGAAGGGGAUAACACUUGGAAACAGGUGCUAAUACCGUAUAACAAUCGAAACCGCAUGGUUUUGAUUUGAAAGGCGCUUUCGGGUGUCGCUGAUGGAUGGACCCGCGGUGCAUUAGCUAGUUGGUGAGGUAACGGCUCACCAAGGCCACGAUGCAUAGCCGACCUGAGAGGGUGAUCGGCCACAUUGGGACUGAGACACGGCCCAAACUCCUACGGGAGGCAGCAGUAGGGAAUCUUCGGCAAUGGACGAAAGUCUGACCGAGCAACGCCGCGUGAGUGAAGAAGGUUUUCGGAUCGUAAAACUCUGUUGUUAGAGAAGAACAAGGAUGAGAGUAACUGUUCAUCCCUUGACGGUAUCUAACCAGAAAGCCACGGCUAACUACGUGCCAGCAGCCGCGGUAAUACGUAGGUGGCAAGCGUUGUCCGGAUUUAUUGGGCGUAAAGCGAGCGCAGGCGGUUUCUUAAGUCUGAUGUGAAAGCCCCCGGCUCAACCGGGGAGGGUCAUUGGAAACUGGGAGACUUGAGUGCAGAAGAGGAGAGUGGAAUUCCAUGUGUAGCGGUGAAAUGCGUAGAUAUAUGGAGGAACACCAGUGGCGAAGGCGGCUCUCUGGUCUGUAACUGACGCUGAGGCUCGAAAGCGUGGGGAGCAAACAGGAUUAGAUACCCUGGUAGUCCACGCCGUAAACGAUGAGUGCUAAGUGUUGGAGGGUUUCCGCCCUUCAGUGCUGCAGCUAACGCAUUAAGCACUCCGCCUGGGGAGUACGACCGCAAGGUUGAAACUCAAAGGAAUUGACGGGGGCCCGCACAAGCGGUGGAGCAUGUGGUUUAAUUCGAAGCAACGCGAAGAACCUUACCAGGUCUUGACAUCCUUUGACCACUCUAGAGAUAGAGCUUCCCCUUCGGGGGCAAAGUGACAGGUGGUGCAUGGUUGUCGUCAGCUCGUGUCGUGAGAUGUUGGGUUAAGUCCCGCAACGAGCGCAACCCUUAUUGUUAGUUGCCAUCAUUUAGUUGGGCACUCUAGCAAGACUGCCGGUGACAAACCGGAGGAAGGUGGGGAUGACGUCAAAUCAUCAUGCCCCUUAUGACCUGGGCUACACACGUGCUACAAUGGGAAGUACAACGAGUCGCGAAGUCGCGAGGCUAAGCUAAUCUCUUAAAGCUUCUCUCAGUUCGGAUUGUAGGCUGCAACUCGCCUACAUGAAGCCGGAAUCGCUAGUAAUCGCGGAUCAGCACGCCGCGGUGAAUACGUUCCCGGGCCUUGUACACACCGCCCGUCACACCACGAGAGUUUGUAACACCCGAAGUCGGUGAGGUAACCUUUUGGAGCCA